AGUCCUGUCCUGUCUACCUACUGU
rnacentral:miRNA from 1 species